rnacentral:rRNA from 1 species
AACGAACGCUGGCGGCAGGCUUAACACAUGCAAGUCGAACGCCCCGCAAGGGGAGUGGCAGACGGGUGAGUAACGCGUGGGAACGUACCUUUCAGUUCGGAAUAACUCAGGGAAACUUGUGCUAAUACCGGAUACGCCCGUAAGGGGAAAGAUUUAUCGCUGAAAGAUCGGCCCGCGUUGGAUUAGCUAGUUGGUGGGGUAAUGGCCUACCAAGGCGACGAUCCAUAGCUGGUCUGAGAGGAUGAUCAGCCACACUGGGACUGAGACACGGCCCAGACUCCUACGGGAGGCAGCAGUGGGGAAUAUUGGACAAUGGGCGAAAGCCUGAUCCAGCCAUGCCGCGUGAGUGAUGAAGGCCCUAGGGUUGUAAAGCUCUUUCACCGAUGAAGAUAAUGACGGUAGUCGGAGAAGAAGCCCUGGCUAACUUCGUGCCAGCAGCCGCCGCGG